rnacentral:rRNA from 1 species
UGCAGUCGAGCGGAUGAGGGAGCUUGCUCCUGAAUUCAGCGGCGGACGGGUGAGUAAUGCCUAGGAAUCUGCCUGGUAGUGGGGGACAACGUUUCGAAAGGAACGCUAAUACCGCAUACGUCCUACGGGAGAAAGCAGGGGACCUUCGGGCCUUGCGCUAUCAGAUGAGCCUAGGUCGGAUUAGCUAGUUGGUGAGGUAAUGGCUCACCAAGGCGACGAUCCGUAACUGGUCUGAGAGGAUGAUCAGUCACACUGGAACUGAGACACGGUCCAGACUCCUACGGGAGGCAGCAGUGGGGAAUAUUGGACAAUGGGCGAAAGCCUGAUCCAGCCAUGCCGCGUGUGUGAAGAAGGUCUUCGGAUUGUAAAGCACUUUAAGUUGGGAGGAAGGGUUGUAGAUUAAUACUCUGCAAUUUUGACGUUACCGACAGAAUAAGCACCGGCUAACUCUGUGCCAGCAGCCGCGGUAAUACAGAGGGUGCAAGCGUUAAUCGGAAUUACUGGGCGUAAAGCGCGCGUAGGUGGUUCGUUAAGUUGGAU